GUUUUCAUAGCAGAGGAGAGACCGUUGGCAUCUCCCCCUACCACACAUGGUUAAGGACUUUUUAUCCAAAAACUAUGGUUAAGGACUUAAGGCUCUCCACUUUGGUGGAUCUUACCAAUUUUUUUU